rnacentral:rRNA from 1 species
UACGAGGGGGGCGAGCGUUGUUCGGAUUCAUUGGGCGUAAAGGGUGCGUAGGUGGCGCGCUAAGUCAGGUGUGAAAUUUCGGAGCUUAACUCCGAAACUGCAUUUGAUACUGGCGUGCUUGAGGACUGGAGAGGAGACUGGAAUUCACGGUGUAGCAGUGAAAUGCGUAGAUAUCGUGAGGAAGACCAGUGGCGAAGGCGGGUCUCUGGACAGUUCCUGACACUGAGGCACGAAGGCCAGGGGAGCAAACGGG